rnacentral:rRNA from 1 species
AGUGCGUAAUAGCUCACUGGUCGAGUGAUCCUGCGCCGAAGAUUUCCGGGGCUAAAACUUACUACCGAAGCUACGGCAUCAGUAAUGAUGGGUAGGGGAGCUUCCCAUACGGGUUGAAGCAUGACCGUAAGGACAUGUGGACAGUAUGGGAGUGAGAAGGUUGGCAUGAGUAGCGAGAUGUGGGUGAGAAUCCCACAGGCCGUAAACCCAAGGUUUCCAGGGGAAGGUUCGUCCGCCCUGGGUUAGUCGGGACCUAAGCUGAGGCCGAAAGGCGUAGGUGAUGGAC